rnacentral:rRNA from 1 species
GUCUAUGGCCAUGUCACCUUGAAUGAGCCCGAUCUCGUCUGAUCUCGGAAGCUAAGCAGGGUCAGGCCUGGUUAGUACUUGGAUGGGAGACCACCUAGGAAGACCAGGUGCUGUAAGCG